rnacentral:sRNA from 1 species
UAAGCGUGUAGGAUAACGUUGCGUCAGCAACGGCCCGUAGGGCGAGCGAAGCGAGUCAUCCUGCACGACCCACCA